GAAACCGUUUAGGGGUAAACCUGAGAAACCCGAAAGGUCGAAGGAAGAAAUUCAUUCGUGCCCGAUAAGGUUAUUGUGCGAUAUUUUAUGGUGUCGAAAUUUCUUUUUGAAAUUUUGCCCUAUCGUAUCAAUAUAUGUACCUUAUUGGAUGCGUGCACUUUUCUUCUGGUAGGACGUUGCGAUCCGUUGGAUGUUGAUUUACGGUACAGAUGGUAGCCCAUUUUUGUUUAACUCUCGUAGUUAUUACUUGAAUGGACCUUUGUUACCUAAUCAACUUGUUCGACGGUAUCAUUUAAUGGUUUUGGGACGCUACUUGUGAGCGUUCGGCUUGUAACAAGCACGUUAAAUGUUUUGGUGUUACGGACCUAGUGCCGUACCUGAUCCUUAACGUCUGUUGGUUACUUUUGUCUCGAACUGUUCCCAUAUAUAUAUGAAACCGAUCAGCAACGAUAUAGCUUUGGGUACUUUCAGGACCCGUCUUGAAACACGGACCAAGGAGUCUAGCAUGUACGCAAGUCAUUGGGAAUUACAAAACCUAAAGGCGUAAUGAAAGUAAAUGUUAAUCUUUACGAUUAACAAUGGGAAGAUAAAUAUAUUAUCUUGUAUAAUAUAUUUCGCAUUCCUAGGGCGUCUCAUUCUAGUUUCGAUUAGAAGAGGCGCACCAUGAGCGUACACGCUGGGACCCGAAAGAUGGUGAACUAUGCCUGGUC
rnacentral:rRNA from 1 species